GACGAACGCUGGCGGCGUGCCUAAUACAUGCAAGUAGAACGCACAGUUUAUACCGUAGCUUGCUACACCAUAGACUGUGAGUUGCGAACGGGUGAGUAACGCGUAGGUAACCUGCCUGGUAGCGGGGGAUAACUAUUGGAAACGAUAGCUAAUACCGCAUAAUAUUAAUUAUUGCAUGAUAAUUGAUUGAAAGGUGCAAAUGCAUCACUACCAGAUGGACCUGCGUUGUAUUAGCUAGUAGGUGAGGUAACGGCUCACCUAGGCGACGAUACAUAGCCGACCUGAUAGGGUGAUCGGCCACACUGGGACUGAGACACGGCCCCCACUCCUACGGGAGGCACCAUUAUGGCAUCUUCGGGAAUG
rnacentral:rRNA from 1 species